CCUACGGUAGGCAGCAGUGAGGAAUAUUGGUCAAUGGGCGGAAGCCUGAACCAGCCAAGUCGCGUGAGGGAAUACGGCCCUACGUGUCGUAAACCUCUUUUUCCGGGGAGCAAGGGCGGGGACGUGUCCCGGCCCGGGGAGUACCCGGGGAAAAAGCAUCGGCUAAAUCCGUGCCAGCAGCCGGGGUAAUACGGAGGAUGCGCGCGUUAUCCGGAUUUGUUGGGGUGAAAGGGUGCGUAGGCGGGCUUUUAAGUCAGCGGUAAAAAUUCGGGGCUCAACCUCGUCCGGCCGUUGAAACUGGGGGCCUUGAGUGGGCGAGAAGAAGGCGGAAUGCGUGGUGUAGCGGUGAAAUGCAUAGAUAUCACGCAGAACCCCGAUUGCGAAGGCAGCCUUCCGGCGCCCUACUGACGCUGAGGCACGAAAGUGCGGGGAUCGAACAGGAUUAGAUACCCGAGUAGUC
rnacentral:rRNA from 1 species